GGGUGAGUGGUCCAAUGGUAAGAUACUGGCAGGUCCCCUGGUGGCCUAGAAAAAGCACAAGGCAAGUCGGAAGACUUGAAGGGGGGUUACCCUAGCUGUGCACCUGGUCGGUGAUACUGGUUCGAGUCCGGUCUCAUCCA